AAACUUGUUUGAUACUCAUUGUUUUACCAUAUUAGUUAAGUAUAAAUCAUCUUUCAUAAUUAAAGGCUCACUGCUUGGUUGCACCACAAUAUGUGUUAUUAGCCUGUCGUUUUGGCAGUACUUUGGAUUAAUCUUGUUGAUGUUUGAAAGGCAUGGUCAGCGGUUUACCUUCUGGACUGAUGUGGCCAGAAUCUUGCUUCAAGGAACUCUUCAGCCAGUGUACAGAGUGCUAUCUCUGAGGAAAUCCACAUUCAGGCUGUCGAUGACCGCACCGCAGAGGAAAAGAGACUGGUGGACUUCAUUGUAAAGUUGCAGGGAUCUGAGGAGUAUUUGGUGGGUGUACUCAACGGGAAGCCCUCUAAGUGGUUUUAUAAGCUAACCUCUUCCUGGGUGCCUGUCUACCUUGACAGAUAGGAAUAAGAAGACAUCCUUUUUGCCUGUCUGAGAGGAGCACUGCAUAGGACACCAACACAACUGAGCUUCACAGAUGAAGUGCAGUUCAUCUGUGGUGUUCUUUUUCCAGAGGCCAUCAUAUAUGCCCUGGCUGUCCUAUGGAAAUUCUCCUUGCUGGAGGCUGAGCAGUUCUUCCUUUCUGGUCCGGAUUAUCAUUACAGGUGUUGAAGCCUACAGCCUUUCUGUCCAUGCAGCAACUGAUGGAAAAGGGGGUCUUUUUUUAUGAUGUUGUUUUAUGUGUUAUUGC